GAUGAACGCUAGCUACAGGCUUAACACAUGCAAGUCGAGGGCAGCACUAGGUAGCAAUACUGGAGGUGGCGACCGGCGCACGGGUGCGUAACGCGUAUCCAACUUCCCGAUACUCUUGGAUAGCCUUCCGAAAGGGAGAUUAAUACAAGAUGGUGUUUCAAUUCCGCAUGUUAUUGAAACUAAAGAUUUAUCGGUAUCGGAUGGGGAUGCGUGACAUUAGAUAGUAGGCGGGGUAACGGCCCACCUAGUCUACGAUGUCUAGGGGUUCUGAGAGGAAGGUCCCCCACACUGGAACUGAGACACGGUCCAGACUCCUACGGGAGGCAGCAGUGAGGAAUAUUGGUCAAUGGUCGGAAGACUGAACCAGCCAAGUAGCGUGAAGGAUGAAGGUUCUAUGGAUUGUAAACUUCUUUUAUACGGGAAUAAAACCUCCCACGUGUGGGAGCUUGUAUGUACCGUAUGAAUAAGCAUCGGCUAACUCCGUG
rnacentral:rRNA from 1 species